UAGGGAAUCUUCCGCAAUGGACGAAAGUCUGACGGAGCAACGCCGCGUGAGUGAAGAAGGAUUUCGGUUCGUAAAACUCCGUUGUUAGGGAAGAAAAAAUGUAUAGUAACUAUAUACAAAAGAGACGGUACCUAACCAGAAAGCCACGGCUAACUACGUGCCAGCAGCCGCGGUAAUACGUAGGUCCCGAGCGUUGUCCGGAUUUAUUGGGCGUAAAGCGAGCGCAGGCGGUUAGAAAAGUCUGAAGUGAAAGGCAGUGGCUCAACCAUGGUAGGCUUUGGAAACUGUUUAACUUGAGUGCAGAAGGGGAGAGUGGAAUUCGAUGUGUAGCGGUGAAAUGCGUAGAUAUAUGGGGGAACACCGGUGGCGAAAGCGGCUCUCUGGUCUGUAACUGACGCUGAGGCUCGAAAGCGUGGGGAGCGAACAGG
rnacentral:rRNA from 1 species